rnacentral:rRNA from 1 species
CUUCGGGGCUAGCGGCGGACGGGUUAAUAACGCGUGGGAACGUACCCUUCUCUACGGAAUAGCCUCGGGAAACUGAGAGUAAUACCGUAUACGCCCUCAGGGGGAAAGAUUUAUCGGAGAAGGAUCGGCCCGCGUUGGAUUAGGUAGUUGGUGGGGUAAUGGCCUACCAAGCCGACGAUCCAUAGCUGGUUUGAGAGGAUGAUCAGCAACACUGGGACUGAGACACGGCCCAGACUCCUACGGGAGGCAGCAGUGGGGAAUCUUAGACAAUGGGGGAAACCCUGAUCUAGCCAUGCCGCGUGAGCGAUGAAGGCCUUAGGG